AGUGAACGCUGGCGGUAGGCCUAACACAUGCAAGUCGAACGGCAGCACAGUAAGAGCUUGCUCUUACGGGUGGCGAGUGGCGGACGGGUGAGGAAUACAUCGGAAUCUACUUUUUCGUGGGGGAUAACGUAGGGAAACUUACGCUAAUACCGCAUACGACCUACGGGUGAAAGCAGGGGAUCUUCGGACCUUGCGCGAUUGAAUGAGCCGAUGUCGGAUUAGCUAGUUGGCGGGGUAAAGGCCCACCAAGGCGACGAUCCGUAGCUGGUCUGAGAGGAUGAUCGGCCACACUGGAACUGAGACACGGUCCAGACUCCUACGGGAGGCAGCAGUGGGGAAUAUUGGACAAUGGGCGAAAGCCUGAUCGAGCCAUGCCGCGUGGGUGAAGAAGGCCUUCGGGUUGUAAAGCCCUUUUGUUGGGGAAGAAAAGAAGCAGAUUAAAACCCCGCUGUUCUGACGGUACCCAAAGAGUAAGCACCGGCUAACUACGUG
rnacentral:rRNA from 1 species